rnacentral:rRNA from 1 species
AGCUCCAAUAGCGUAUAUUAAAGUUGUUGCAGUUAAAAAGCUCGUAGUUGGAUUUCUGGUAUGAUGUACCUGGCCCGCUUCUUUCGAAUGUGUGCGUCGGGUCGCGUCUGCCAUCCUCCCAGGGAAUGUUCGUGCCCUUCAUUGGGUUGCGUUCGCUAACUGGGUCAUUUACUUUGAAAAAAUUAGAGUGUUUAAAGCAGGCUAUUGCUAUGAAUACAUUAGCAUGGAAUAAUAACUUAGGACUUCGGUUCUAUUUUGUUGGUUUUCAGAAUUGAAGUAAUGAUUGAUAGGGAUAGUUGGGGGUGCUAGUAUUGUGCGGCCAGAGGUGAAAUUCUUGGAUUCGCGCAAGACUAACUUAUGCGAAAGCAUUCACCAAGGAUGUCUUCUUUA